rnacentral:rRNA from 1 species
GACGUAGGGCGCAAGCGUUGUCCGGAUUAUUGGGCGUAAAGAGCUCGUAGGCGGCUUGUUGCGUCUCCGUGAAAACCCGCAGCUCAACUGCGGGCUUGCGGACGAUACGGGCAGGCUGGAGUUCGGUAGGGGAGACUGGAAUUCCUGGUGUAGCGGUGAAAUGCGCAGAUAUCAGGAGGAACACCUGAGGCGAAGGCGGGCUACUGGGCCGAUACUGACGCUGAUGCGCGAAAGCCAGGGGAGCGAACGGG